CUUUGAACUUACUGUGCAGCUGGAAGUUCGGCAGCCUCACUCCAGCCCAGCUCGGCGGCGAGCUUGGCAGGUGGUGAAAACUUCUCCAGCGAAGGAAGCUUCAGAAACGCAGUGUAAGCAGACGACAGGAGGCGGUGCCGUGAACCCACAAUGAGCAUGCAUUUUUCUUUUAAGAUCAGAUUGUGUAGAGAUACUCAAGAAAUGUGGAGACCAGAACAAAUUCCCUGAAGACCACACGGCUGAAAGUAUUUGUGAGUUUCUGUCCCCUGCGGAUGACCUGGAGAACUGCAUACCUCUGGAUACAUACCUCAGGCCAAGUGCUUUAGGUAACAUCAUAGAAGAAGUGACUCACCCCUGUAACCCAAAUCCUUGCCCAGCCAAUGAGCUCUGUGAAGUGAACCGAAAAGGGUGUCCAUCUGGAGAGCCCUGCCUUCCCUACGCUUGUGUUCAAGGCUGCAAAUUGGGGGAAGCGUCUGACUUCAUUGUCCGUCAGGGGACACUGAUCCAGGUGCCGUCCUCUGCGGGAGAAGUGGGGUGCUACAAGAUCUGUUCCUGUGGGCAGAGUGGCCUCUUGGAAAACUGUAUGGAGAUGCACUGCAUCGACCUCCAGAAGUCUUGUAUUGUUGGAGGGAAAAGAAAAAGUGAGU